rnacentral:rRNA from 1 species
CCUACGGGAGGCAGCAGUAGGGAAUAUUGCUCAAUGGGGGAAACCCUGAAGCAGCAACGCCGCGUGGAGGAUGAAGGUUUUCGGAGUGUAAACUCCUUUUGAUAGAGAAGAGAAUGACGGUAUGUAAGGAAUAAGCACCGGCUAACGCCGUGCCAGCAGCCGCGGUAAUACGGAGGGUGAAAGCGUUACUCGGAAUCACUGGGCGUAAAGAGCGCGUGGGCGGGAUAGCAAGUCAGCUGUGAAAUCCUGUGGCUUAACCCUAGAACUGCAGUUGAAACUGUUAUUCUAGCGUAUGGGAGAGGUCGGUGGAAUUCUUGGUGUAGCGGUCAAAUCCGU